UAUAAGUUCCAAGCUGCACAGAAAGUUUUAAAUUUACUUUAGCGGAUCACUCUUGUCAUAUUUUUGGUGAGUGAAUGGCUGAUAUAACAGGACCGAUUUUUGAAGUGAAUGAUUUGAAAAAUUGAUUCCCUUAGCGUCAUGGCUUUUUUAAAGGUUCAUACGCUGAAGAUCUGCAAUGAAUUUAUUUAAAUCAUAGUUUAUUCUUCUUAAAAAGGCCUGCAGUUCCUCUAUCAGCUUUUGAGAAUACAGAGUUGAAUCUUAAGUAUAUCUCUUUGAAAUUACAAAGAGAAAAGGCAUAUUUUAUGAGUAAUGAUUUCUUUUGAAAUGUCUUCAAAAGCGAAGAUUGUGAACUUCAUUAUUUUUUUCUUCGUCAUUCAUGAAGUUUUCAGUGAUUCAGUGGCAACUGCCGACGAGGAACUUUAUAAUCAAAAUUCUGACUCAGGCUCAUCUGGAGUCGGAAGGAUGAAACAACUACUGAACAAUAUCGUCUCCAACAAAGUUAAAAGAUCACCACAGUGGCAUCAAAGCUUAUUAGUUCAAGGCUUAUCUCGGCCUUUUUGCAAUCUUUUUGGUGGUAAUACUGGUUGUACACCAAAUCCGGCAAGCAACGUGCAAUCCAAUCCCACGCAGUGUGCAAUUGGUUACAGAUAUGAUUACGCUACGCAGCGGUGCAGGCAAAUACAGUAUGGCAAAUGAUAAGGAAGCAGAUUUGAUGGAUUAAAGUUCAUACACGAUAUUUUCUAUUGAUUAUGUUAUAUCACUGUGAAAUUGCCAUUUCCAUUUCAAGGGACUACAAUAAGCAUUUAAUCAAUUCAAAUUCAAAUGAAGAGGAAGAAAAGUACACUUGAAAUGAAUACAUAAAAAAAAGCGACAAAUUUCAAAUUAAAAAUAAUAAUAAAGAUUCAUUUCAAUAUUUAGCAGCUAUUAUAAAUGCUAUAUAAGUAACAAUUAAAUUAUAGGUCAUUUCAAUAGCUAUAAUUACAAUUAAAAAUUUUAUUUUUAAAAAUAGUUUUAUUAAUAAAUAAGAAUAUUAAUAGAUUGGCUGAUCCCACUCAAAGCAUACAUGAUAUAUUGUCUAUUCUUCAGAGUUAAGAAAUUUAUAUAUUAUAAGACAACAUACAAUAUUCUCAAUACUAGAAUAUUUGUAUAAAUGUAUGCAUGUGUAAGUAUUUACGUCAUUUAUAUUUUAAACUUCUAUUGGUUGAUCUUUGAAAUUAGAAAAAUCUAUAAAUAGUUUUAAAAAAAUAAGACCACACUCGUUUAUGAAAGUACAUUCGUUUCUUUUAAUUAGGAGUAUUCAAAAUUUUGCUGUAGGUAGAGUAACGUAUUCCAGAACUUGUAAUACAAAACCAAAGGAGUUUGAAAGAUUCACACUCAAGUAAGUUAAGGCCAAAUCUAAUUUUGACAAAUUUAGGCAUUUUUUAAAAAAAUUUCACUUUGAAAUGUAUUUUUAUUUAUUAAAAAGAUAAUAAAUAAGGAACGGUUUUCAUUAAAAUUUAAGACACAUUAUUGUUGGAUGAAAGGAAUGGUAUUCGAAGAGCGGGAGGAUUAUUUUGUUGCAAUAGUGUUACUCUGCAAAUUACUACUUUUAUGUCUUUCACACAUGUGCAAAGUCUUCUAGAAUUUUACCAUC